UAGGGAAUCUUCGGCAAUGGACGAAAGUCUGACCGAGCAACGCCGCGUGAUUGAAGAAGGUUUUCGGAUCGUAAAACUCUGUUGUUAGAGAAGAACAAGGACGUUAGUAACUGAACGUCCCCUGACGGUAUCUAACCAGAAAGCCACGGCUAACUACGUGCCAGCAGCCGCGGUAAUACGUAGGUGGCAAGCGUUGUCCGGAUUUAUUGGGCGUAAAGCGAGCGCAGGCGGUUUCUUAAGUCUGAUGUGAAAGCCCCCGGCUCAACCGGGGAGGGUCAUUGGAAACUGGGAGACUUGAGUGCAGAAGAGGAGAGUGGAAUUCCAUGUGUAGCGGUGAAAUGCGUAGAUAUAUGGAGGAACACCAGUGGCGAAGGCGGCUCUCUGGUCUGUAACUGACGCUGAGGCUCGAAAGCGUGGGGAGCAAACAGG
rnacentral:rRNA from 1 species